rnacentral:rRNA from 1 species
GAUGAACGCUGGCGGCGUGCCUAAUACAUGCAAGUCGAGCGAACGGACGAGAAGCUUGCUUUUCUGAUGUUAGCGGCGGACGGGUGAGUAACACGUGGAUAACCUACCUAUAAGACUGGGAUAACUUCGGGAAACCGGAGCUAAUACCGGAUAAUAUUUUGAACCGCAUGGUUCAAAAGUGAAAGACGGUCUUGCUGUCACUUAUAGAUGGAUCCGCGCUGCAUUAGCUAGUUGGUAAGGUAACGGCUUACCAAGGCAACGAUGCAUAGCCGACCUGAGAGGGUGAUCGGCCACACUGGAACUGAGACACGGUCCAGACUCCUACGGGAGGCAGCAGUAGGGAAUCUUCCGCAAUGGGCGAAAGCCUGACGGAGCAACGCCGCGUGAGUGAUGAAGGUCUUCGGAUCGUAAAACUCUGUUAUUAGGGAAGAACAUAUGUGUAAGUAACUGUGCACAUCUUGACGGUACCUAAUCAGAAAGCCACGGCUAACUACGUGCCAGCAGCCGCGGUAAUACGUAGGUGGCAAGCGUUAUCCGGAAUUAUUGGGCGUAAAGCGCGCGUAGGCGGUUUUUUAAGUCUGAUGUGAAAGCCCACGGCUCAACCGUGGAGGGUCAUUGGAAACUGGAAAACUUGAGUGCAGAAGAGGAAAGUGGAAUUCCAUGUGUAGCGGUGAAAUGCGCAGAGAUAUGGAGGAGCACCAGUGGCGAAGGCGACUUUCUGGUCUGUAACUGACGCUGAUGUGCGAAAGCGUGGGGAUCAAACAGGAUUAGAUACCCUGGUAGUCCACGCCGUAAACGAUGAGUGCUAAGUGUUAGGGGGUUUCCGCCCCUUAGUGCCGCAGCUAACGCAUUAAGCACUCCGCCUGGGGAGUACGACCGCAAGGUUGAAACUCAAAGGAAUUGACGGGGACCCGCACAAGCGGUGGAGCAUGUGGUUUAAUUCGAAGCAACGCGAAGAACCUUACCAAAUCUUGACAUCCUUUGACAACUCUAGAGAUAGAGCCUUCCCCUUCGGGGGACAAAGUGACAGGUGGUGCAUGGUUGUCGUCAGCUCGUGUCGUGAGAUGUUGGGUUAAGUCCCGCAACGAGCGCAACCCUUAAGCUUAGUUGCCAUCAUUAAGUUGGGCACUCUAAGUUGACUGCCGGUGACAAACCGGAGGAAGGUGGGGAUGACGUCAAAUCAUCAUGCCCCUUAUGAUUUGGGCUACACACGUGCUACAAUGGACAAUACAAAGGGCAGCGAAACCGCGAGGUCAAGCAAAUCCCAUAAAGUUGUUCUCAGUUCGGAUUGUAGUCUGCAACUCGACUACAUGAAGCUGGAAUCGCUAGUAAUCGUAGAUCAGCAUGCUACGGUGAAUACGUUCCCGGGUCU